rnacentral:rRNA from 1 species
UACAGAGGUCCCGAGCGUUGUUCGGAUUCACUGGGCGUAAAGGGCGCGUAGGCGGCUUGCCAAGUCAGGGGUGAAAUCUUUCGGCUCAACCGGAAAAGUGCCUUUGAUACUGGCAGGCUCGAGGGAGGUAGGGGUAUGUGGAACUUCCGGUGGAGCGGUGAAAUGCGUUGAUAUCGGAAGGAACGCCGGUGGCGAAAGCGACGUACUGGACCUCUUCUGACGCUGAGGCGCGAAAGCUAGGGGAGCAAACGGG